UACGUAGGGCGCAAGCGUUGUCCGGAAUUAUUGGGCGUAAAGAGCUCGUAGGCGGCUUGUUGCGUCAGCUGUGAAAACCCGCAGCUCAACUGUGGGCUUGCAGCUGAUACGGGCAGGCUUGAGUUCGGUAGGGGAGACUGGAAUUCCCGGUGUAGCGGUGAAAUGCGCAGAUAUCGGGAGGAACACCGGUGGCGAAGGCGGUUCUCUGGGCCUUACCUGACGCUGAGGAGCGAAAGCGUGGGGAGCGAACAGG
rnacentral:rRNA from 1 species